rnacentral:rRNA from 1 species
CGCGAAUCGCCCUUCGGGGCGCACCAGGCGCGAAAACUUUACAAUGCCGGCAACGGCGAUAAGGGAACCUCGAGUGCCAGGUUAUAAAUCUGGCUGUCGUGAUGCCUAAAAAGCAUUGCAUAGCAAGGGCCGGGCAAGACCGGUGCCAGCCGCCGCGGUAACACCGGCGGCUCGAGUGGUAACCGUUAUUAUUGGGUCUAAAGGGUCUGUAGCCGGCCGGAUAAGUCUCUUGGGAAAUCCAGCAGCUCAACUGUUGGGCUUCCAGGAGAUACUGUCUGGCUCGAGGCCGGGAGAGGUGAGAGGUACUUCAGGGGUAGGGGUGAAAUCUUGUAAUCCUUGAAGGACCACCAGUGGCGAAGGCGUCUCACCAGAACGGACCUGACGGCAAGGGACGAAAGCUAGGGGCACGAACCGGAUUAGAUACCCGGGUAGUCCUAGCCGUAAACGAUACUCGCUAGGUGUCGGCCACGGUGCGACCGUGGUCGGUGCCGUAGGGAAGCCGUGAAGCGAGCCACCUGGGAAGUACGGCCGCAAGGCUGAAACUUAAAGGAAUUGGCGGGGGAGCAC